UACGUAGGCAGCAAGCGUUUGUUCGGAGUUACUGGGCGUAAAGGGUGUGUAGGCGGCUUUUUAAGUUUGGUGUGAAAUCUCCCGGCUCAACUGGGAGGGUGCGCCGAAUACUGAGAGGCUAGAGUGUGGGAGAGGAAAGUGGAAUUCCUGGUGUAGCGGUGAAAUGCGUAGAUAUCAGGAGGAACACCGGUGGUGUAAACGCUUUCUGGACCAUAACUGACGCUGAGACACGAAAGCGUGGGUAGCAAACAGG
rnacentral:rRNA from 1 species